UAAAAAAAGGCCGGCUGCAGAUUUCAGAGAUAGCUCCUACAUCCAGGACAAGGAGAACCUGUGCGUCUCUGUCAAAGCCAUCUCUGCUCUUUACCUGUCAAAGGUGGCACAUCAGGAGAAAGAAAGCAGCCUUUUCAAACUGGGACAAGCUCAAUCAUCUCACCCUGGAAAAAA